AUACUUACCUUGCAGGGGAGAUACCAUGAUCAUGAAGGUAGUUUUCCCAGGGUGAGGCAUAUCCAUUAUACUCUGAUAUGCUGACCUCUGCGAUUUUCCUAGAUGUAGGAAACUAGACUGCAUAAUUUGUGGUAGUGGGGGACUGUGUUCUCACUCCUCCUCU
rnacentral:snRNA from 1 species